UGUCACAAGGGGCAGAUAUACAAGGAA
rnacentral:piRNA from 1 species